rnacentral:rRNA from 1 species
UGUAGUCAUAUGCUUGUCUCAAAGAUUAAGCCAUGCAUGUCUAAGUAUAAACAAAUUCAUACUGUGAAACUGCGAAUGGCUCAUUAAAUCAGUUAUAGUUUAUUUGAUGGUAUCUUACUACAUGGAUAACUGUGGUAAUUCUAGAGCUAAUACAUGCUGAAAAGCCCCGACUUCUGGAAGGGGUGUAUUUAUUAGAUAAAAAACCAACGCUGGAAACAGCUCCCUUGGUGAUUCAUAAUAACUUCUCGAAUCGCAUGGCCUUGUGCCGGCGAUGCUUCAUUCAAAUAUCUGCCCUAUCAACAUCGAUGUAGAAUGGGCUACCCCG